rnacentral:lncRNA from 1 species
CGGGGUGGUCAGGAAAAGUGUCCCUGGGGAGACACCUGAGGAAAUCAAAGGUGCAGCCACACCUACAUGCAGGACACACUAGAGAUGGAGGCAGCAGGGUGAAGACCCUAGCACAGGCUCAUGUGCCCCCGAGAGCAUCUCAAGGGACCACUGUUUCAUGAGGUGAUGGAGGACUGGAUGAUGCUGUCUCUACUUCCUGCUUUAUCCACAAGCUGUCCUCCCACAGUGACUCCACAAGCAGGGGCCACAAAGGCAAAGGAGGAGGUGGCUAGGGAUGAGCUGAGCUCAGGUGCCCAGGCACACAGAGCUCACCAGGGCUUGCGUGUGGCCUAGGGGGUCUGUGCUCCACACCUGUGCCCUGCAGCCUCGGCUCGCUCUCACCUACAGGAAGAUGCCUUCAUUUCACCAAGUCAGAGCUGGCCUGGAAAAGGGCAUUGAGCAGAAACAGGAGUAGGGAGUCUGCCACCCGGGGCUGUGUGACCUUGGGCAGGUAGCCGUCAUUGUAUAGGACCCUCACUGAGCUCCUGAACACAAGGGAGAGUGGGCCGUUCCCCCACUGAGGGUUUACAGGGAGCAGAGGGGCCCGGGCGGGGAGGAGAGAGCCAGAACAAAGUGAGCUGCGCUGGGAGACAAUCCCCAGCCUGUAUUUGGUUUUGUUGUUGUUGUUAUUGUUUCAAGUAGUGGGGAUUGAACCUAGUAGGACCAAGCC